ensembl:lncRNA
CAUAAUGCCAUUAAAUUUGCUCAAAGUUAUAAAGGAAAGGAUAUCUGAUAUUUUGUUGUUAUGGACAAUGUAAUAAAUGAAGCUUUAAAGAAACCAUUGAAAGUUUGUGGGAUCGUGGGGCCGGCCCAGUGAUGUAGCAGUUAGGUUCACGCAUUCCACUUCAGUGGCCUGAGGUUUGCCAAUUCAGAUCCUGGGUGUGGACCUACGCACUGCUUGUGAAGCCGUGCUGUGGCAGCAUCCCACAUAUAAAAUAGAGGAAGAUGGGCACAGGUGUUAGCUCAGGGUCAGUCUUCCUCAGCAAAAAGAGGAGGAUUGGUGGCCGAUGUUAGUUCAGGGCUACUCUUCCUCAAGUAAAAAAAAGUUUGUGGGAUCAGAGGCUGAAAGAAAAGCUAAGGAAGAGUAAGGUGUGUGUUUACACACUUUUAUUGGAAUGGCUACUUGAGAGAAAUCAAUUUAUGGAGAGGCGAUUAAGAAUGCAAAAUUGCCUUCAGAGAGAAUGGAGUGUAAAAUUUCAAAGCAUUUAUCAAUAAAUGAAAUCUAGCUUGGGAAUUGUGAGAAUAGGAAGAGCAUUUCUGGGUGAUUUCCACUGAUAAUAGAACCCAUAUUCAAAGACUAUGCACACCUACUGGGCUUAAAUUCUUGAAAGAAGACAAGUGAUUGCAUUUUCUUGGGUCAGAGGAACCCUAAUUGAAAUGUCUGUUUCUACAACAAGGGUAAAAGUAAUUCUGUGGCUGAUUUAUCAUGGCCCUCAAUCAAUUCUUGGUCCAAGAGUUAGUUAGCCCUGGGUUCCUGUCGAUGCUCUGAAUGUUUCUCCUGUCAUCCACUUUUGUUUGUGGAACGCACCUCUCUCUCCCUCUCCCUCUCAUUGCCUCUUCUUUGCUUUGCUUUCUGUUUUGGAUUAAGACUGAUAUUAAGACUGUACAUGUAGAUUAUCCAUGAUUAUUUGUAAUAUAUGAUUGUAUGACUUACUUGAUUUGCUAGUCACUUAUCUUUGCUCUAACCGAAGCUUAAAACAUGUGAGCUUGGUUUUAUUGGGCUAAUAGUUUAGUAAAGAAAAAUAAAAAUCUUAGAUUGUUCAUCAGUGUCAUUUCAAUCCCUUAAGAUGUUUCUGGACAUCCGGAAUAAGUUUCCUAAACAAGGUCAUUAAUGAUAUCUCAGAGGAUACAUGAUAAGCAUGUGUAAUUCUAGCUCUUUCUAUGCUGAUCCUCUACAAAUAUUAACUGUAUAUUUGGGACCAAAUAUUACAUUCCAGUUUGGAAAAAACCUUCCUUGUAUAGACUACCAUAGAGCUCCUUUCUUUUUGUCUUCCACCCAUUAUUAAGAUUAAAGUGCACCUACAAAAGCAAGCCCAAUAAUUACUGGAUACCACCUGAAUAUUAUUCAGCUUACUGGAGUGCAUUGACAGGCCUAGACUCAAAUGCUUCAGUUGUACACUGAUAAUAUGACAAGAAUAUCAAUUCUCUGAUUUGUUUCCUGCAUCCUGACAGGUGAAAUCCUUAUAUUUGUAACUCUCAGAACACAUGAAAUUCCUGACGCUCUAUAACACAAAAAUCAGUAAGAGCACAUGUUUUAUGAUUCAAAAGCCAUUUCCUUCUUAUACUAGAGAUGAUGUGUAUUCAUUUGCUACAUCAAAGAGAAGAGAAAUCGUGACUGGUACAGGAGUGAGCUGUCUUUCCCAGGAAGUCAAGGUCCAGACAUCAAGACCCAGCCUCACAAGGCCAAACACAGGCUGAAGAUGAAAACUAACCAGAAAAGUCUAGACAGUAAAGGGAAAAGAAAUUCAGUCUUCAAGGCCAAAUGCAGGCUGGUGGGAAGGCAGCAACCAGCUCCCCCUCCCCUACCUGAAACCACAGCACAUGCUCUCCACCCCACCACCUAAAACCCCAGAUAAAAAUCCCUACCUUUUUCCUUUGGAGGAAGUGGGUCUGAGUUCUAACUCCCAUCUCCUCAUCUGGCUUCCUUUCAAUAGUAAACUUCUUUCCUUGCCACAAGCCUGAUGUUUCCGUUAUUGGCCCUACUGUGUGGUGGGUAAAAGAACCUAUGUUUGGGUUUGGUAACAGUGUGACACAGUCAGAAAAGGACAUCCUGUGGUGGUGGUGGUUGGGGCGGAUUGUUGGUAAACUACAGCCCAUAGGCCAAAUCCAGCCCAUCACCUAGUUUCAUACAGCCUAG